AGAGUUUGAUCCUGGCUCAGAACGAACGCUGGCGGCAGGCCUAACACAUGCAAGUCGAGCGCACCUUUUCGGAGGUGAGCGGCGCACGGGUGAGUAACGCGUGGGAACCUACCCUGGGGUAGGGGAUAACCGCUGGAAACGGCGGCUAAUACCCUAUACGUCCUUCGGGAGAAAGAUUUAUCGCCCUGGGAUGGGCCCGCGUCGGAUUAGCUAGUUGGUGGGGUAAAGGCUCACCAAGGCGACGAUCCGUAGCUGGUCUGAGAGGAUGAUCAGCCACACUGGGACUGAGACACGGCCCAGACUCCUACGGGAGGCAGCAGUGGGGAAUAUUGGACAAUGGGCGCAAGCCUGAUCCAGCCAUGCCGCGUGAGUGAAGAAGGCCUUAGGGUUGUAAAGCUCUUUCACCCGCGAAGAUGAUGACGGUAGCGGGAGAAGAAGCCCCGGCUAACUCCGUGCCAGCAGCCGCGGUAAUUC
rnacentral:rRNA from 1 species